CGUAGGUGGCAAGCGUUGUCCGGAAUUACUGGGUGUAAAGGGAGCGUAGGCGGGGUGCCAAGCAAAAUGUGAAACUUAUCGGCUCAACCGGUAAUUGCGUUUUGAACUGGCGCUCUUGAGUGGAGUAGAGGCAGGCGGAAUUCCCAGUGUAGCGGUGAAAUGCGUAGAUAUUGGGAGGAACACCAGUGGCGAAGGCGGCCUGCUGGGCUCUAACUGACGCUGAGGCUCGAAAGUGUGGGUAGCAAACAGGAUUAGAUACCCUGGUAGUCCACACUGUAAACGAUGAUUACUAGGUGUGGGGGGUUUAUACCCUUCCGUGCCGGAGUUAACACAAUAAGUAAUCCACCUGGGGAGUACGACCGCAAGGUUG
rnacentral:rRNA from 1 species